UACGGAGGGUGCAAGCGUUAUCCGGAUUUAUUGGGUUUAAAGGGUGCGUAGGCGGUUUGAUAAGUCAGCGGUGAAAUAUUUCAGCUUAACUGGAAGGGUGCCGUUGAUACUGUCAGGCUUGAAUUUAGUUGCUGUGGGUGGAAUGUGUGGUGUAGCGGUGAAAUGCAUAGAUAUCACACAGAAUAUCGAUUGCGAAGGCAGCUCACAAAGCUAAUAUUGACGCUGAUGCACGAAAGUGUGGGGAUCAAACAGG
rnacentral:rRNA from 1 species